rnacentral:rRNA from 1 species
AACGCGAAGAACCUUACCUGGUCUUGACAUCCCAGGAAAUCUUUUGGAAACAAGAGAGUGCUUCCAUUCGGAAGAAUCUGGAGACAGGUGCUGCAUGGCUGUCGUCAGCUCGUGUCGUGAGAUGUUGGGUUAAGUCCCGCAACGAGCGCAACCCUUGCCUUUAGUUGCUAACAGUUUGGCUGAGCACUCUAAUCAGACUGCCUUCGCAAGGAGGAGGAAGGUGAGGACGACGUCAAGUCAUCAUGGCCCUUAUGCCCAGGGCUACACACGUGCUACAAUGGCGCGUACAAAGAGAGGCGAUACCGCGAGGUGGAGCAAAUCUUAAAAACGCGUCUCAGUUCGGAUUGGAGUCUGCAACUCGACUCCAUGAAGCUGGAAUCGCUAGUAAUCGUAGAUCAGAUAUGCUACGGUGAAUACGUUCCCGGGUCUUGUACACACCG